rnacentral:rRNA from 1 species
GAUGAACGCUGGCGGCGUGCCUAAUACAUGCAAGUCGAGCGAACAGACGAGGAGCUUGCUCCUCUGACGUUAGCGGCGGACGGGUGAGUAACACGUGGAUAACCUACCUAUAAGACUGGGAUAACUUCGGGAAACCGGAGCUAAUACCGGAUAAUAUAUUGAACCUCAUGGUUCACUAGUGAAAGACGGUUUUGCUGUCACUUAUAGAUGGAUCCGCGCCGCAUUAGCUAGUUGGUAAGGUAACGGCUUACCAAGGCAACGAUGCGUAGCCGACCUGAGAGGGGGAUCGGCCACACUGGAACUGAGACACGGUCCAGACUCCUGCGGGAGGCAGCAGUAGGGAAUCUUCCGCAAUGGGCGAAAGCCUGACGGAGCAAAGCCGCGUGAGUGAUGAAGGUCUUCGGAUCGUAAAACUCUGUUAUUAGGGAAGAACAAAUGUGUAAGUAACUAUGCACGUCUUGACGGUACCUAAUCAGAAAGCCACGGCUAACUACGUG